rnacentral:lncRNA from 1 species
UGAAUUCACAUUUCCAAGUGAUUACACUUUACAAAUUUUAAAACACAAGUUCACCUUUUAAGAACUACACUAAACCAUUUUCAAGUCGCUAUCCACUUUUCAAGUGACUAGUACACAUUUCAAAACACUACAUACAAUCAUUUUCAACUCUCUAAUUCACUUUUCAAGUGACUAAACUUAACCAAUUUCAAGUCAUGAAUUCGCAUUUCAAGUAUCAACACUAAACCAAUUUCAAGUCAUGAAUUCGCAUUUCAAGUAUCAACACUAAACCAAUUUCAAGUCAUGAAUUCAAAUUUUCAUGCGGUUACACUAUACAAAUUUCAAAACACAAGUUCACCUUUCAAGAACUACACUAAACCAUUUUCAGGUCGCUAAUUCACUUUUCAAGUGACUAGUACACAUUUCAAAAUACUACACUUAACCAUUUUCAACCCUCUAAUUCACUUCUCGAGUGACUAAACUUAACCAUUUUCAAAUCAUGAAUUCAUAUUUCAAGUAUCAACACUAAACCAAUUUCAAGUCAUGAAUUCACAUUUUCAAGUGAUUACACAUUACGAAUUGAUGCUUACCCAUUUUCGUCCUUGAAUAAUGCUUGUAACUUAUUUGACUCCUAUAAUUAUCUAAGACACUCAUGAGAUCAUUUACUUAACUUCCACUUCAUUUUAUUCAUUAUGUGGUCCUAAAAUUCUGUUAACUCUCAAAAUUUUCAAAUUUUUUUGCUAGAAUUUCCUUUGUAAAUAGGCCUAUCGCAAACCUGUCAGCUAACCAGAAUACAU